rnacentral:rRNA from 1 species
GACGAACGCUGGCGGCGUGCUUAUCACAUGCAAGUCGAACGGAAAGGCCCUGCUUUUGUGGGGUGCUCGAGUGGCGAACGGGUGAGUAACACGUGAGUAACCUGCCCUUGACUUUGGGAUAACUUCAGGAAACUGGGGCUAAUACCGGAUAGGAGCUCCUGCUGCAUGGUGGGGGUUGGAAAGUUUCGGCGGUUGGGGAUGGACUCGCGGCUUAUCAGCUUGUUGGUGGGGUAGUGGCUUACCAAGGCUUUGACGGGUAGCCGGCCUGAGAGGGUGACCGACCACAUUGGGACUGAGAUACGGCCCAGACUCCUACGGGAGGCAGCAGUGGGGAAUAUUGCACAAUGGGCGGAAGCCUGAUGCAGCAACGCCGCGUGCGGGAUGACGGCCUUCGGGUUGUAAACCGCUUUCGCCUGUGACGAAGCGUGAGUGACGGUAAUGGGUAAAGAAGCACCGGCCAACUACGUG